rnacentral:lncRNA from 1 species
AAUAAGCAAAGACCAAAGAAGGAAAUUCAAUGGCAUGAUCAUCUAUACCUGUUGGAAUUUGUGGAAGGAACGCAACCGGCGUAUCUUCAACAAUGUGUUUCAGUCAGCAAGGGAAGUAGCGGCAAGAAUCAAGGAGGACAUCGACCAAAGGAGGAGAGCACUAAGAACCUUUGGUUAGAGCGAUGUUUGAUGUCUAUGUCCCUUUUUGCUACACCUGUAACCUUUUCUCCCUCUCGGGAGGCUUCUUUGUAAAAAACUUCCUUUUUCUACCUUAAUUGAAAGGCAGAGCUCCUGCCAUUUUCCUUCUAAUUACAGAGCAUCCAACCACAGGAGAACAGACUAAUGGAGACUUUGCUUGAUCCUGAAGAGGUGUGCAGUAACUUCUUUCUUGAAUGCAGACUAGAUGAAAUUUGGGACAUUCCCAUUAAAGAUUAAGUCAUUUCUUUCAUUCCAUAGGCACCAGGCCCCAAUCAUGAAGAC